GUACCCCGUGGAUUCUACUGGACAAGGUGUCAUGAUUGGCUGCAUGGGAUGUAGAGUCACGCGUCUGUGUUGCAGCAGAAAUCACCUGGAAAAUUGCAUGGAGGGAGGGAGCCAAGUUCCUGGGCACGAUGCCAGAGUCUACUGUGGCACAGAGUGGACGGGGCCCACAUGGAGUCUGCACACGGCCCCCCUCCUAUCUUAACCUUGCCCUGUGUGGUGCCAUAUAAAUAGUGUAAUAAGAAUAAGAAUUAAGACUGUGAACAUCUUUAUUUCUAGGGUGGCAAACACUAUCAAUCUCUGAACGUGAUCUGGUUUUCCUUGACCCAAUAAAGCAGAGGUUAGACACA